UUCCGAUCUUUGGCUUUCGAUCAUCCGCAACUUAAGGAAUAUAUAACUGACUACCAAUAUUUUCUUCCAUAUUGCUAGACAUAAAAAUUACACAGUGACAACAAUGUAAUAUAAAAUAAAUAAAGUGACUGAAAUUAUUUGGGUAAAUGAACAAUUAUAACAUAAAAAACAUACUGAAGGUAUCGUAGAGAGAGUACAAUAAUUAAAACUAAUUAAGAAAUACAUAUAUUUAUAUCAGAUAAAACAAAAUUAUUUUAGAUUAAUGUAUAAAUUGCUCAUAUGAUUCAUUUUAUCUCUAUUUUGGCCCCUUAAACACUCAUCGGAAAGUUACAAAUAUAGUGACCAACAAGACUAGAUAGAUAGUGACCAACAAGACUAGAUAGAGUACAAUAAUUAAAAACUAAUUAAGAAAUACAUAUAUUUAUAUCAGAUAC
rnacentral:lncRNA from 1 species